GAACCACCCUUAUGGAGCAGGACUUUCGUCAGUGGGGCUUUGGUGCUCAUUGAGUCUGCCCCAUGAGUGUGUCGCU
rnacentral:pre_miRNA from 1 species